UGGUGCAGUGGUUAAGCACUUGGCUACUAACCAAAAGGUUGGUGGUUCAAACCCACC
rnacentral:tRNA from 1 species